AUUGAACGCUGGCGGCAGGCCUAACACAUGCAAGUCGAGCGAGCGGCGGAAGGGUGAGUAAUGUCUGGGGACUGACCGAUAGGGGGGGAUAACUACUGGAAACGGUAGAUAAUACCGCAUACCGUCGGAUAGCGCAUAGGGGAUUGUCUAGUGGAUGAGGUAAUGGCUUACCUAGUCGACGAACCCUAGCUGGUCUGAGAGGAGUCUCAGCCACACUUGUACUGAGACAAGGCCCAGACUCCUACGGAGGCAGCAGUGGGGAAUAUUGCACAAUGGGCGCAAGCCUGAUGCAGCCAUGCCGCGUGUAUUAAGAAGUCCUUCGGGUUGUAAAGUACUUUCAGUCGGGAGGCGUUACCGGCAGAAGAAGCACCGGCUAACUCCGUGCCAGCAGCCGCGGUAAUAC
rnacentral:rRNA from 1 species